rnacentral:rRNA from 1 species
UACGUAGGGAGCGAGCGUUGUCCGAAGUUACUGGGCGUAAAGCGCGCGUAGGCGGGCUGUUAAGUGAGAGGUGAAAGGCUGGGGCUUAACCCCAUGCAGUGCCUCUCAUACUGGCGGUCUUGAAUUCGGCAGGGAGAAGUGGAAUGGCUGGUGUAGCGGUGAAAUGCGUAGAUAUCAGGAGGAACACCAAUAGCGAAGGCAGCUCGCUGGGACGGUAUUGACGCUGAGGCGCGAAAGCGUGGGGAGCAAACAGG